rnacentral:lncRNA from 1 species
AUCAAUGCCCCAAUGGGCAAUUACAACAUAUGUUGAGUUGGUUUACAUAAACAUCAUAAAGAUCUAGGAUCAUGCAUUAAAAGGGAUACUUUAUACAUAGGUCAAGCACAACCUCUAAUCCUCAAUAUCAUUACAUUACAUGACUAUUCAUAACUUUACAUUUUAUCAUGUCCACAUUCUAUCUAUUACAUACAAUUGACUUCAAUACUCUUGCUGACCUCCUGGUCUACCCUGUACCUGCAAACCUGGG